GAUGAACGCUGGCGGCGUGCCUAAUACAUGCAAGUCGAGCGAACGGACGAGAAGCUUGCUUCUCUGAUGUUAGCGGCGGACGGGUGAGUAACACGUGGAUAACCUACCUAUAAGACUGGGAUAACUUCGGGAAACCGGAGCUAAUACCGGAUGAUAUUUUGAACCGCAUGGUUCAAAAGUGAAAGACGGUCUUGCUGUCACUUAUAGAUGGAUCCGCGCUGCAUUAGCUAGUUGGUAAGGUAACGGCUUACCAAGGCAACGAUGCAUAGCCGACCUGAGAGGGUGAUCGGCCACACUGGAACUGAGACACGGUCCAGACUCCUACGGGAGGCAGCAGUAGGGAAUCUUCCGCAAUGGGCGAAAGCCUGACGGAGCAACGCCGCGUGAGUGAUGAAGGUCUUCGGAUCGUAAAACUCUGUUAUUAGGGAAGAACAUAUGUGUAAGUAACUGUGCACAUCUUGACGGUACCUAAUCAGAAAGCCACGGCUAACUACGUGCCAGCAGCCGCGGUAAUACGUAGGUGGCAAGCGUUAUCCGGAAUUAUUGGGCGUAAAGCGCGCGUAGGCGGUUUUUUAAGUCUGAUGUGAAAGCCCACGGCUCAACCGUGGAGGGUCAUUGGAAACUGGAAAACUUGAGUGCAGAAGAGGAAAGUGGAAUUCCAUGUGUAGCGGUGAAAUGCGCAGAGAUAUGGAGGAACACCAGUGGCGAAGGCGACUUUCUGGUCUGUAACUGACGCUGAUGUGCGAAAGCGUGGGGAUCAAACAGGAUUAGAUACCCUGGUAGUCCACGCCGUAAACGAUGAGUGCUAAGUGUUAGGGGGUUUCCGCCCCUUAGUGCUGCAGCUAACGCAUUAAGCACUCCGCCUGGGGAGUACGACCGCAAGGUUGAAACUCAAAGGAAUUGACGGGGACCCGCACAAGCGGUGGAGCAUGUGGUUUAAUUCGAAGCAACGCGAAGAACCUUACCAAAUCUUGACAUCCUUUGACAACUCUAGAGAUAGAGCCUUCCCCUUCGGGGGACAAAGUGACAGGUGGUGCAUGGUUGUCGUCAGCUCGUGUCGUGAGAUGUUGGGUUAAGUCCCGCAACGAGCGCAACCCUUAAGCUUAGUUGCCAUCAUUAAGUUGGGCACUCUAAGUUGACUGCCGGUGACAAACCGGAGGAAGGUGGGGAUGACGUCAAAUCAUCAUGCCCCUUGUGAUUUGGGCUACACACGUGCUACAAUGGACAAUACAAAGGGCAGCGAAACCGCGAGGUCAAGCAAAUCCCAUAAAGUUGUUCUCAAUUCGGAUUGUAGUCUGCAACUCGACUACAUGAAGCUGGAAUCGCUAGUAAUCGUAGAUCAGCAUGCUACGGUGAAUACGUUCCCGGGUCU
rnacentral:rRNA from 1 species